rnacentral:rRNA from 1 species
GACGAACGCUGGCGGCGUGCUUAACACAUGCAAGUCGAACGGAAAGGCCCUGCUUUUGUGGGGUGCUCGAGUGGCGAACGGGUGAGUAACACGUGAGUAACCUGCCCUUGACUUUGGGAUAACUUCAGGAAACUGGGGCUAAUACCGGAUAGGAGCUCCUGCUGCAUGGUGGGGGUUGGAAAGUUUCGGCGGUUGGGGAUGGACUCGCGGCUUAUCAGCUUGUUGGUGGGGUAGUGGCUUACCAAGGCUUUGACGGGUAGCCGGCCUGAGAGGGUGACCGGCCACAUUGGGACUGAGGUACGGCCCAGACUCCUACGGGAGGCAGCAGUGGGGAAUAUUGCGGAAUGGGCGGAAGCCUGAUGCAGCAACGCCGCGUGCGGGAUGACGGCCUUCGGGUUGUAAACCGCUUUCGCCUGUGACGAAGCGUGAGUGACGGUAAUGGGUAAAGAAGCACCGGCUAACUACGUG